rnacentral:rRNA from 1 species
GUGCCUAAUACAUGCAAGUCGAACGGUGACUAUUUUGUAGCAAUACGAAUGAAAUCAUAGUGGCGAACGGGUGAGUAACGCGUUGGUGAUCUGCCUCGAAGUGUGAAAUAACUUCCCGAAAGGGUAGCUAAUACCGCAUACUCUCUCAAGGUUUAAAAAAUUGAGAGUAAAGGAUUUAUUCGCUUCGAGAGGAGCCUGCGUCCCAUCAGCUAGUUGGGAGGGUAAUACCCUACCAAGGCAAUGACGGGGGAGGGGACCUGAGAGGGUGGCCCCCCCACAAUGGAACUGAAACACGGUCCAUACACCUACGGGUGGCAGCAGUAGGGAAUAUUAGAAAUGGGCGAAAGCCUGAUCUAGCAACACCGAGUGUGCGAUGAAGGCCUUCGGGUUGUAAAGCACUUUUUGGAGGGAAUAGGAAGGAAGGUACCUCCAGAAUAAGUCUCGGCUAACUACGUGCCAGCAGCCGCGGUAACACGUAGGAGGCAAACGUUAUCCGGAUUCACUGGGCGUAAAGCGCGUGUAGGUGGUUCUGUAAGUAGGGCGUGAAAGCUCCCGGCUCAACUGGGAGAGGCCGUACUAAACUGCAGAGCUAGAGGAUGGUAGAGGGAGGUGGAAUUCCAGGUGUAGUGGUGAAAUGCGCAGAUAUCUGGAGGAACACCAGUGGCGAAGGCGGCCUCCUGGACCAUUCCUGACACUCAGACGCGAAAGCUAGGGUAGCAAACAAAGGGAGAGACUCCGGUAGUCCUAGCCCUAAACGAUGCAGACUAGGCGUCGGCGGUUUAAUCACCGUCGGUGUCCAAGCUAACGCGAUAAGUCUGCCGCCUGAGGACUACGGCCGCAAGGCUAAAACUCAAAGGAAUUGACGGGUCCCCGCACAAGCAGCGGAGCGUGUGGUUUAAUUCGAUGCUCCGCGAAGAACCUUACCUGGGUUUGACAUAACAGUGGUAGAGAAGUGAAAACGGAUCGACCCUUCGGGGAGCUGUUACAGGUGUUGCAUGCCUGUCGUCAGCUCGUGUCGUGAGAUGUUCGGUUAAGUCCGCUAACGAGCGCAACCCGCGCUGUGUGUUACAAGUGUCACACAGUACCGCCGGUAUUAAGUCGGAGGAAGGUGCGGAUGACGUCAAGUCAGCAUGACCUUUAUAUCCAGGGCUACACACACGCUACAAUGGUCAGAACAAUAGGUUGCCAAGCCGCAAGGCGGAGCCAAUCCUCCAAAUCUGGCCUCAGUUCAGAUUGCAGGCUGCAACUCGCCUGCAUGAAGUCGGAGUUGCUAGUAACCGCAGGUCAGCAUACUGCGGUGAAUACGUUCCCGGGGAUUGCACUCAGCGCCCGUCAAG